ensembl:lncRNA
GCCCGUUCCAUGCCUACCACCCUCUGCUCCAUGCCGUUCCCUCGGGCCCUGUCGCUGUCACACAGAGCAGAGCUCAGCGCUGCUCCUCCUCUCUCUGCGAGUAGACUCCUCAGCCUUUCUGGGCUGUUAUUCCAGUGCCCUGUCAUUCCCCAAUGGAAAGAAGUUCUUUCUCAUGUUCAGAUGGAGGUUCCUAUAUUUCAGUUUGUGCCCACUGCAUCUUGUUCUGUUGCUGGUAACUGCCAAAAAAGAGCCUGGCUCCAUUUACUUGACACCCACCCAUUACACAUACUCAUCAACAUUGGUGAGAUCCCCUCUCAGUCUUCUCUUCUCCAGGCUGAACAGCCCCAGGUUUCCCAGCCUUUCCUUGUACAGGACAUGCCCUUAAUCAUCCUUGUUGCCCUCCACCAGACUCUUCCUAGGAGAUACCUGCCUUUUUUGAACUGAGGAGCUCAGAACUGGGCACAGUACUCCAGGCCACACUCUUUCUAAUGCACUCUGGGAUCCCAUUGACCUUGGCCACAUGGACAUACUGCUGGCUCGUGGCCACCCUGUUGCCCACCAGGACACCCAGAUCCUUCUCUACAGAGUUCCUCUCCGGUAGGUCAGCUCCUAACCUGUACUGAUGCAUGCCAUGAUUUCUCCCCAGGUGUAGCACUGUACAUUUACCCUUGUUCAACUUCAACUGGUUCCCCUCCACCCAACUCUGCAGCCAGCCUAGGUCUUGCUGAGUUGUAGCUUUUUGGUGUGUCAGCCACUCCUCCUGUCUAUGUAUCAUCAUAAAACUUGCUGAAGGUGGACUCCAUCCCUUCAUAUAGGUCAUUGAUGAAGAUGCUGAACAAGAUUGGACCUAACACCGAUCCCUGGGGAACAUCACUUGUUGCAGGCCUCCAGCCAGACUGUGCUGCUGACACACUGUGUCACAACUGUCUGAGCUCUGCCAGAUAGCCCGUUCUCAAUCCACUGUCCACACAUCUAUCCCACACUUCCUGAAUUUAUCUAUAAGGCUUUCAUGGGAGAAAGCAUCAAAGAAAGAAGCUCUUGAUGCAGUUACAGCAUUUGCAGCUGUAUUAUGAUGCCACUACUGCAGCUUGUUGUGUACUGUGCAAAACCCAAUUUGCCUAAUGUAGACAUCUAAAUCAAAAGGAACAGGACCUGGAAGCCUUCAAAACAUUUUUCUGUUGGUUCAUUGCUGACUUCUCCUGAAAUAUCAGUGCUUACAUGAGGAGAUCUACUCUUUAAGAUACUAAAAAAUUAUGUUCAAGUCUGAUCCCCGAAGCUCUGAUUCAGGGAACACCAUUUAGCAUCAAGAUGGGUUAAGCAAUCCCUG